CAAAAUUUUUUUUGCUUGGGGCGGCAAAAAACCUAGAGCCGGCCCUGCUGAGCAGGAAGUAUGGCACUUGAGGCCCUCAACAGAUAUGCCCCACUGGGGACUUAGCACCACUAGAAGGCUCCACAGUGGGAGCUAAGGAGUCUCCACCUGGGCUUCCUGCUCCAGUGAGGUGGGGGAAAGAAGCUAUCCUAAAUUCUUCCACUUUCCAAGAAGAGGAAGAAGCAGCUUAUGCUGUUCGCUGCACCCCCGGCACCCACCCAUGCAGAGGAGUGGAAGAAAAACAGUUCUCAGACAUCGCUCUCCCACAGAAGAAGGAUGAAAGUGCUCUUAGUGUGUGAAACAGACUGGCCUGCUACUUCCCAAAAGACAUCUUCUCCUGAGGACUUCCAAUAUGAGCACUCCUGCUGCUGGUGAGGACUGUGGGAUAUCUCCCUGGAUAGAAGCUCUUUGUAUGUAGGUAGACACACAUGGGUGCCCAGGACCCGAUUUUCAAAAGUACUGAACACCCACAUCUUCCCCUGAAGUCAGUGAGAAUUGUGGGGGCUCAGUAUCUCUGAAAAUCAUAGCUGCAUAGAUUUUAAGGCCAGAUGAGACCAUUAUGAUAAUCUCUUUUGACCUGCGUUAUAGUCCUGGGAAUUUCAUCCAUGAUUCCUCCAUUGAGCGCAUGUUGUAACCAGCAACAUGAGUCGAGUUCCUGUUGUAGUGGGGGAAUUUGCUAUGGGGAGGGUAUUUCUUAGGGGUAGUUGUAUGGGUUACUUGGGGUGAGGGUAUUGCCAUUGGGAAAGGUAGGUGAAAUGCGGGAUGAGCAGGAUAGGAUAACUGGGGUGCUGGUGAAUGGGAGGUUGCUCCAGGUCAUCAGAGGAUGAUCAGAGUUUUGGCUGUAGAUGGAAUUUAUUAGGUGACGGAAAUUGAUUAGAGGGCUUCCUCAAGGGUAGGGCAGGGGAAGAGUAGUCAGGGGAAUUGAGCAGGGCAUGGAAGGAAGCAGGAGGUGGAGUUUCUGAAGAGUCAGUGAGAAGCAAAAUAGUUAAAUACCAAGAAUAAACAACUCUGGCACUUCCCAGCCUAUAUAAUAGACUCUUCUUUAUGAAAAGAAUUACUGUUAACAGCUGCCAAGAAACUGUAUCAGAUCAAAGCUUUUUGAUCUGCUUGUGUGUGGGCUAUAUCAAAAUCAAGAUGAAUUUUAAAGUUCACAUCACUGUGCUCUUUUUUUGCUUCUCUGCUUUUGCUGGUAAGUCUCCGUAUAUUUUCUUUCCUGUUUCACUGUAUUGCCGGGGAGUAUAUUUUUCAUUUGCUUAGAAACACUGGACCAAAACUCUCAAACUUGGAUGUUGGCGUUAGCUACCUAUAUCUACAGCUGAGCAACUAAAUGAAAGUGACCUGAUAUUUUGGGGGUGCUGCAGACUCACUUAUCUUCUUGAUUUCCAUGGAGUUACUCCUGGUAAGGAAGGCACAGGAAGAUAUGAAGGACUAAAUAGAACUGGACAAUUACCAAGAUAUCCUGUUUGUGUUCAUUACAUCCUCAAACCAAUGUGUAUUUUGUAUUAUCACCCUGUCUGUGGCAGUGAUGGGAGAACCUACCGGAACAAGUGUGAGCUCUGCAGUUACUGCAGGGAACAUGACAAGAAUAUAAAGAUUGUAAAGGAAGGAUCAUGUUAAAGAUUGAAGAUACCACCAUCUGUCUUGUCUUGCACACCCUGGAAUCCUUAAGGCUUAUUAAUAUGUAAUCCUGCCGUGGUGCCAAGGGGCCGACUAGAUUUUCUUUCGAGGUUCCUACAUUCUUAUGACCAUGUUAAUAUUGUAUUAA